AUCUAGCCUAUUGUGCUCAAGUGCUCGAUGUUGUGCGUUGGCCUCUCUGUCCCGGCCUCUGUGUGUGUGUGUCUGUCUGUGUGUGGGUUUUCCUGAUGCCGGUCCCCCCGGAUUUAUGUUCCGCGAUAUAAAAUUAAUUUCUGCUUGAGUUUGUGUGCGUUUGUGACCUUCUACUUCUAGAAUUGCCUGUCUCAGCCUUUGACCACGUGUGGAGCGCGGGGACCACCAACAAGCUGUCACCAGUCAUCAUGAUGCCAGGCCAGUCUUUCUACCUGUCUACAGAAGUGUCCGCUUAUGCUUGCUUACGUCCACAUCACGAUGUCAGGUGGUUUCAGGUGUGGAUUUCAAGAAAGCUUUGUCUUGUGGCACUGGAUGUAGUGGAUUUGCGUACUUGCAUAGAAUGUGGCUAGUGUAUCUUCUUGUAUUUUGUUUUGAAUAUAUGUAUGACGGGUACCACUUUUUAAAAUGAUUAUCUAUCUCUCGAACUGACUACUGAAGGUCGGGCUUUUCGACUGGAGGUAUCCUGAGAGUUGACCAGUUUGCUGACGCAGAUGCCAGAGAUGUGGAGAGGUUGGAGCCCUCACUCUCCAUGCAACAAAGAAUAUUUUUGAUGAGGUGUUCGCUGGAACUGGCGUAUAGGGAUUGAAGAUAGGCUGGGAGCUCCAGAUCGGAUAUGGCUCUCAAAGCAAUGCCGCCAAGGGACGCAGGGAGCUUAGCCUGGGACCAUCCUGUAUCAUGAAAUGAGAUGUUUGUGAUAUGUUUGGCUGCAUGCCGUACCUGGUAGUCGAACGUUGACAGUUCUCUUGUGGCCCCGUACGUCGGGGCACUCCUUAAAGUAUACAGUAGCUUUGGGGAAGCAAAGCAAUUGCAGAGAAGAAAGAGAGGGCAUAUGAAUCCAAGAGACACAGAUUCUUGGACGUCGAUCAAUGAACUGAGUUUUUUUCUCUGGCUAUUGAUGUCUUCACAGCCUCCAUUUUGAUUGGUGCUCCCAGCUGCACCGCCUCUGCCGGCUCCACGAUCGUUACCCCUGAUGGGAUUUAUUGGGACUCCCUGUAGGCAGUCACCGAAAUCCUAUGUAGAAUCGCCAAUGUUGAUUAUCUCGGACUCGGGGGCAACUUGUGGGUGAUGGGAUCCAACGUUUGUGAGUGGCAAGGGGUUGUUUACAUGAUUUGUAUGUGCUGCCUACCUCGGAAGAAAAGUGAUUUCUCUGACAGGUGCAAGGCAUGGCCCUGUUGGCUAAUGGUAAAAAUUGUGUUUUAUAUGUUUGAGCAGAACAAUCUUUUGUUACUCUUCUUUUCAUUUGGCUAUUGACUUGGUCAUUGUCAUCAUUGACCUCUGAUACACUAUGACCUCUGCUACACUAGAUCUAGAUGGCUGAUCCUGUCUCUCCCAUAUAAUUUCAUUGGCUGCGGCACACAUGCUCUCUGUUGCAACUUCUUUACUAGCUGUGAGUGAAUUUUGUGAAAUAUUUUGGUUAAAUUUGGGUACGUGAUGGGCUGUGUACUGUGUUGCAAUGCAAGCUCAUUUUUUGAACCAUUUAAAUCUUAAAUUUGUUGAUGUAUAUCAAUUGUGCCCAGUAAGCCAUGAAAACUGCUUUUUAGAUUAUUGAAAUUGGAUGGAAAAUAAAUUUAUGACCCUUCAAAAUUUGGUGAAACUUAGAAAGAAAAAUGUUCCGACUUUCUUUUACCCCACGGGUCGUACUUUCAAGGAUAGUUACACCUGAACAUUUCAAUCUGUUAGUAUUUGGACACUUGUUUUGUGAAGAGUAUAAUAUUUUAAGAGAGUACGAUAAAACACAGACAAAUAGAUAAUGCGGUAGAAACAUAAGAGACGAGAUAUAACUUAAUUCCAGAGUCCCAAUUUCGACCAAUGAAAGGAAAACGAAUGACACGAAGAUAAUAAAAACUCAUACAAAUCAUUAAAAAAACUGUAGACAUUGCAUCUAAUUUUUAAAAAAAGUCUAAAAGCAAGUAUUUGCAAACUUACGAGGAUUUAAAAUUCAAAGAAAUGCAAUUUUCGCACAAAAAAAAUUUUUUUAGCCAUAAAGAAAGAUAGAAUUGAGAUAGAAAGUUAAAACUGGUUGAUACUUAUGUGAUUUUGUCCAAGGAAUCUAUUUCUGGCCUUUAUUUCAUUUCUUGAUAACUCCAUUAUUUCAGUGUCAAAAUACUAGUUUUUAUUUUAAAAACUAAAAAUGACGAGAAUUUUUUGGGUGUAUAUAAGUGUAAUAACAACUGUUAUGAUUAUUACAAAAUUUACUCAAGUACACUAUGCAGUAAACUUUACCUUACAUGAUCACGCCAUAAGCUUAAACUUAAACCCUUAACUUUAAACUUACUAGAAUGACUCUGACACAUUAAAAUGACAUGCAGCAGCAGUGUUAUCUCUCUAUUUUUCUUAUUAAAUUUAAUAUCUUUAAUCCAGAGCUACAUGUAUUAAUUAUUUGUACACUAUUAUAAUUUUGUCCAAAAAAUUGGACCACAAAAUUUUUCAUUUUAUUAUUCUAUGAUAAUGCUAGAUCUAUAUUCAGACAUCCAUUUCUUCCUCUAAAGGCUCUCCUUCAUCUACACACCCCCUUUCAACUUCAUUCAUCACAUGAACUCUCCUCCUUGUAGUCUUAGUCUUAGGAUUUGCCAAGGUCUCACUAUGCUCUUCAUUUGGCUCUAUACCUAGGUGGCUACACAGUUCCUUGUAUAGGGUUUUCAGGUUCCCUGUAAGUCGCAGAUCUUUUGCAUUCGUAAAUUACUUCCUUAAUCUGAUUUGCACCUUUAAAUUAUAAAGUGCAUUUAGCCCCCUGUGUAAAUUUUUCAUUUUACAAUUCUAUGAUAAUGCUAGGAUCUAUAUUCAGACAUCCAUUUCUUCUUGCCAAGGUCUCACUAUGUUCUUCAUUUGGCUCUAUACCUAGGUGGCUACAAAGUUCCUUGUAUAGGGUUCUCAUGUUCCCUGUAAGUCGCAGAUCUUUUGCAUUCAUAAAUUACUUCCUUAAUCUGAUUUGCACCUUUAAAUUAUAAAGUGCAUUUAGCCCGGGCCUCAUGAGACUGCGUAAUUCUUCUUUGGUUUCACUCAAACCACCCUGGCUCACCAAUUCUGUGAGGAGAUGUGCUUGUUUUUCUUUCUCAUUUUUUUUUCUCUUCUCUCUUUCUUUCUUUUUCUUGGAUUUUCCUUUUCACAGCUGUUAUGACACUUUUGAUUGCUGCUUUGUGGGGUUUUUUUUUUCAAGGGCCCACUAUGCUUCCUUGCAUUUUCCAUGAUUUUUCUUUGAUUUGUCUGAUUUUUGCUUGUCAAGAAUUUGGAUGUCUGAUUGUGUUUCCACCUGCUGAUGGUGCUCCGCAAGAAUGUGGUUGCUUUCCUUCUUUUCACCAUGUCAUAAUCCAAAAUCUCCAAACGUCUUUUCCCGUCAGAGUUGUCAAAGGGCACAUAGAUAAAACCUCCUUGACAGAAGAGGGAAUUUCUCCCCCAUGCACCCCUCCAAGCAAUAUUGAGUUACUGGUAUCGUCUUAAAGCUUGUUCAGUUGUCUUGCUUAUGCCUAUAACCAUCAUUUAAAUAGUAAAUGCACUCCAUACAGCUGCCUUGACAGUGUACCUUUCCACAUAGUGUUCUUUGCUACACUUUUCCCAAAUGAGUUUGUUGAGAUUUUCGUUGACAUUUUGUGUUUUUCCGUACCAGAUUCCUAUCAGCUAAAUCUGCAAACAUUUGCUUCACAAAUUCAACAACACUAUUAAUUUGGCAAUCCAUUCGUAUGCUUGUAACUAUUUUCAUCCUGGGUUAGUUCUAACAGGUAGGAUCGGAAGCCCGCCUCCCUAAAUGAUCUAAAUUGCGUUGAUGGCGUAAAUCAUCAUUAUUUAUAAAUGAAAUAGAAUCUUUAUAGUGUUUAAGGAAUUUUUAAGAAUAUUAUAAGGAAGAGGUGUUAAUAAAAAAAAUAUUGAUCUUCUGGGAUAAAUUGGUUCAACAUUAAGUUGCUGUUCAAAAGUUGAAGUAUUUGACAAGUUGUGCCAUGAAUAUUUGGCCACACUGUUGUGCUAUUGUGAAAACAAUUUGUUGUGUUUUUGUAACAUUCCUUUUAUUUUAUGUACUGAGAAAUCUUUUUGCUGACUAUGGUAGUUAUUGUUUGUGAUUGUGGUUUCCAUGUACCAGUGCUUUGUUUUCUAGUACAAUGUAGUGAAAGAUCCACGUCUUGUCUUUUUUUUUUUUUUUUUAGUCCCUGACUUGGGUAGGCCCCCUGUGUAUGUGAACCCAGAUAUUUAAUACGGCGGCUUUGAGAAGGUCUUGAUUUUUCUUACUUUUACUUAAUGUAAUGCUGUGGUGUUAUUUGUGAGAAUGUUACUACUUUUGCAUUUUUUAAAGAUAUUUUUCUUUUGUUUUUGUCUUACUUUCUGUUUACUGUGUUAUGUUGUGGAGAAAUCUUUUUGCUGACUGUGCAGGUGUAGGUAACUGUUAUGUUGAUGUGUCAGAUGUACACAUGUACAUGUAGAAUAUGAAGAGGUUGUCGCCUUCUUUUUUUUUUUUCUCUUCACAUGUUCCCUUUGCUGACAGUAGCAGGUGGUUGUGGUUUGGAUGUACCAGGCACACGAUUCUACUCUGUGUGUAAGAAGUAUGAAGAGGCUGCUUCUUGUUUCACUUUUGUGUGGGAUGUAUUGGGUCUCUCUGCUGACACUAGCAGGUGAUUGUGGUUUGGAAUGGAUGUACCAGGUCUACGAUUCUAUAUCUGUCCCCAUGGUUUUAUGCACCCUGCAUAAUUUAGCAAUCUGAUCAUUUUUGGCAUAAUUUCUGAUUAUUUUGCUUUCUCAUUCUUUGUUAAAAAUUAACAGAAUCGCAUAAUUUCACAUUUUUGGGCUCAGUUUGCAUAAUUUCAGAUUUUUUGGGGCAUGGCAUAAAACCACGGGGACAGCUAUAUGUAUGUAAGAAGUAUACAGAGAGUUGAGCCUUCUUUUUUUGUUCACUACUUGUCAUAUGACUGUUGUGUGGGAUGUAUUGGGUCUCUUUGCUGACAGUAGCAGGUGGCUGUGGUUUGGAUGUACCAGACCUGCAAUGUAUAUAUAAGAAGUAUGAAGAGAGUUAGUUGAGUCUUCUUUCUUUGUUCACUGCUUCUCAUCUGACUGUUGUGUGGGAUGCAUUGGGUGUCUUUGCUGACAGUAGCAGGUGGGGGCGGUUUAGAUGUACCAGGCUCAUGACUCUUGUUUGUCUUCAUUUGCCCCCACUUUUUUGGGGUGCAGGAUUGUUUCUUUUGCUGACAGUAGUAGGUGGCCGUGAUUUGGGUGAACCAAGUUCAUGAGUCUGUUCUUGAAAUUGAAAGUUAUAAUAGAGUUGAGCCUUCUCUUUUUUCUUUUGUCUUCAUUUGCACAUUUUUUUUUAGAUGCAGGAUUGUUUCUUUUGCUAACAGCAGUAGGUGGCCAUGAUUUGGAUGUACCAGGUACUCGACAUGAGCCAGUAUUGGAACGUCUUUGUCCUAUUUAUCCCCUCGCUAGUCCAUGUUUGUUGGGUGGGUGGGCGGAGGGGGUGCGUUUUACAUCUAACGUGCUGAAAUCAACAUUUGCACAAGUAGUAAAGACAUGCAGUUUGAAUACAUGUUUGAAUCGAGGAAAAAUAAUGCAAGAUAAGGGGGGGGAAGUGGAAAUCCAAGAUGGCCAUCAUAAUAUUGGCGGCCUCUGGAUUUUAUUCCCAGUUUCGAAUCUCUACUCCUAAAGUUUACCAAUGGGUUUGCUUGAAAA
rnacentral:lncRNA from 1 species